UGAACGCUAGCUACAGGCUUAACACAUGCAAGUCGAGGGGCAGCAUCAGGUUAGCUUGCUAACUUGGAUGGCGACCGGCGCACGGGUGAGUAACGCGUAUCCAACCUUCCCCCUGCUCAGGGAUAGCCCGGUGAAAACCGGAUUAAGACCUGAUAGUUUCACUAGAUGGCAUCUGACGGUGAAUAAAGGUUUCGGCAAGGGAUGGGGAUGCGUCUGAUUAGCUUGUUGGCGGGGUAACGGCCCACCAAGGCGACGAUCAGUAGGGGUUCUGAGAGGAAGGUCCCCCACAUUGGAACUGAGACACGGUCCAAACUCCUACGGGAGGCAGCAGUGAGGAAUAUUGGUCAAUGGGCAGAAGCCUGAACCAGCCAAGUAGCGUGCAGGAAUGACGGCCCUAUGGGUUGUAAACUGCUUUUGUAUGGGAAUAAAGUCAUCCACGUGUGGAUGUUUGCAUGUACCAUAAGAAUAAGGACCGGCUAAUUCCGUGCCAGCCGCCGC
rnacentral:rRNA from 1 species